UACGAAGGGGGCUAGCGUUGCUCGGAAUUACUGGGCGUAAAGCGUGCGUAGGUGGUUUGUUAAGUCUGAUGUGAAAGCCCUGGGCUCAACCUGGGAAUUGCAUUGGAUACUGGCAGGCUAGAGUGCGGUAGAGGAUGGCGGAAUUCCCGGUGUAGCAGUGAAAUGCGUAGAGAUCGGGAGGAACAUCUGUGGCGAAGGCGGCCAUCUGGACCAGCACUGACACUGAGGCACGAAAGCGUGGGGAGCAAACAGG
rnacentral:rRNA from 1 species